rnacentral:rRNA from 1 species
AGUGAAGCGGCAACAGCUCAAAUUUGAAAUCUGGCCCUAGCGGUCCGAGUUGUAAUUUGUAGAGGAUGCUUUUGGUUAGGUGCCUUCUGAGUUCCCUGGAACGGGACGCCAGAGAGGGUGAGAGCCCCGUACGGUUGGACACCGAGCCUCUAUAUAGCUCCUUCGACGAGUCGAGUAGUUUGGGAAUGCUGCUCUAAAUGGGAGGUAAAUUUCUUCUAAAGCUAAAUACCGGCCAGAGACCGAUAGCGCACAAGUAGAGUGAUCGAAAGAUGAAAAGUACUUUGAAAAGAGGGUUAAAUAGCACGUGAAAUUGUUGAAAGGGAAGCGUUUGCGACCAGACUUUUUCCAGGCGGAUCAUCCGGUGUUCUCACCGGUGCACUUCGCCUGGUUUAGGCCAGCAUCGGUUCUCUUAGGGGGAUAAAGGCCUGGGGAACGUAGCUCCUUCGGGAGUGUUAUAGCCCCUAGCGUAAUACCCUUCGGGGGACCGAGGAACGCG